ensembl:lncRNA
UGUGGUUUAAUGUCAGUUUACUCGGUUAUACCGUAGGCUGGAUUGUUAUUGUGGGAAAUUAUCGUUUUGCGCAACCCCUUUCUGUCAAGGCCGCUCAACCGCGGGCCAGGUGCAGAGAACCACACAAACUGAGUGGCACUAGCGGCCAAGGCAAAUUACAUUACCAUUUGUUCGCGGAAGUGGCUUUUUUGUGUUGGUAGAAAGGGGGUGGUGGGGGAGGAAAGGAAGAGAAACUAAAGAAGAAAAGUUUCAGCCCUCUUUCUAAAGAAAUUCAUAUGCACACUGUACGACAGCUGGCGUUUGAACCUUCGCAUUCAGCCACUUGUGUAAUUUAGUUAGAGGUAGGCCUACCGGACAACAACAGCUGGGAGAAAACAAGAGGCACAAAAGGGACAAGGAGGAAGAUUGCUGACAACAAUGAUCAUUUAAAUCAUCUGUAACAAGCCCUGACUAAAACAGUACUCUGUAGUUGGAUACGUGCCAUACUGUCACGGCUCUCGUCAGACCGCAUGGACCAAAGCGCAGCGUGGUUUGGAGACACCCCAGACAGACAGGAGUCAGGGAUGGAGUGGAUAGAGG